CAAGAUGUAUCAGGAAGUUUCGUUUUCUUUCAAGUUUCAGCUUUCCGCAAUCUAUUCACUCACAAUAAAUAAAUAGAGAGCGAGUGCAAUUAGAUCGAUUUGUAAAAGCUGAGUCCACCCUGCAUCAGUUAUGUUGUCUCCAGAGCCAAGAACUCUCAUCUCUCUCAUCAUCCUCUCCUCAAUUCUACUGUCACACUUUGCUGAUGGACAGUUUGACGAGGAAUGGUGCGUGGCUGAUGUGCAAACCCCGGACGAUAUCCUGCUGGGGGCAAUGGACUGGGCGUGUAACAACGGCGCAGACUGUGGUCCGAUUCGACCUGACCAGCCUUGCUAUUUGCCUAACACAAUGGCAGAUCAUGCUUCUUUUGCCUUCAAUAGCUACUAUCUCAACAUGAAGAGCAAAGGAGCAGAUUGCUAUUUCAAUGCUGCGGCAAUUAUCACCUCCAGUGAUCCCAGUCAUGGUGCGUGCAAGUUCGGUGCUUCCCAUGAAUGAAGUGUUUGCAGAGGAAUCGGUGAAAUUUACAGAUAUUGAGUUGUCGAUUUACAGAUGUCUUAAAAACUUCAAUACAAAUAUUUUGUUUGAUAAUAUAUACCGGAUUAUCCCAUUUCAUGAUUAGCAUAAUCAGUCGUCAAUUCCAGAAAUCAACAUUGGUUGUUAAGCUGAUCGCUAAAAUAUUCAGAUAUCAUAUUAAUCACUUUUUCUAUUACUAAUAUCUAACUAGUCUGGUUUCAAGUCUGUUCAGCUUCAUGGAUUUGUGAUAAUCUGACCUUUAAAUAACAUUUUAUAUUGAGUGAAAUUGAGGAUUAAGCUGAGGUGUCUUAACUUUGGAUCAUAAGCAGAGUCAGUCAUUAGAUGCUGAAAAACUUUCAGCUCUAGUCAUUCAGGCUUAAAGUGUACAGUAUAGGAACAGCCGGUUUCACAUCAUUUGGCAUCCAACCACUAAAAUGAAGCGAUUAGGCCCGUGUAUGCUCAAGUGUUGCUGUAGAAAAUCCAAUGCCAGCACAAAUUCUCCUUCCGGUGCCAAAUGGAAUGGAAUCAAAAUUUGCUCCUAUAAGGCCAACUUUCCAGACCCAUCCUCAAAACUUUCUGCAUCAUUCCAGGUCACCUGGAUGUCUUCCUUCACUUUGUUGCCCCUACUGGCAUGGUGUAGUCAUCCAGAAUGUCUUCCAUCACUUUGUUGCCUACUGGAUGUCUUCCACAGACUUGAGGCGUGUAGGCAUAGUUUUUCUUUGUUCACCCGCUUUAGUUAACUCAGUUUUGUGUAUUUUUGUCUUCCCCUUCAGGACUUCUACCAGUUCAUCUUGUGCC